rnacentral:rRNA from 1 species
AACGAACGCUGGCGGCAGGCUUAACACAUGCAAGUCGAGCGCCCCGCAAGGGGAGCGGCAGACGGGUGAGUAACGCGUGGGAACGUACCCUUUGCUACGGAAUAGCUCCGGGAAACUGGAAUUAAUACCGUAUGUGCCCUACGGGGGAAAGAUUUAUGGGCAAAGGAUCGGCCCGCGUUGGAUUAGCUAGUUGGUGGGGUAAUGGCCUACCAAGGCGACGAUCCAUAGCUGGUCUGAGAGGAUGAUCAGCCACAUUGGGACUGGGACACGGCCCGAACUCCUACGGGAGGCAGGAGUGGGGAAUAUUGGACAAUGGGCGCAAGCCUGAUCCAGCCAUGCCGCGUGAGUGAUGAAGGCCUUAGGGUUGUAAAGCUCUUUCACCGGAGAAGAUAAUGACGGUAUCCGGAGAAGAAGCCCCGGCUAACUUCGUGCCAGCCGCCGCCGUAAAAC